CGGCCAGACUCCUACGGGAGGCAGCAGUGGGGAAUAUUGCACAAUGGGGGGAACCCUGAUGCAGCGACGCCGCGUGAGUGAAGAAGUAUUUCGGUAUGUAAAGCUCUAUCAGCAGGGAAGAAGAUGACGGUACCUGACUAAGAAGCCCCGGCUAACUACGUGCCAGCAGCCGCGGUAAUACGUAGGGGGCAAGCGUUAUCCGGAUUUACUGGGUGUAAAGGGAGCGUAGACGGCAGGGCAAGUCUGGAGUGAAAGCCCGGGGCCCAACCCCGGGACUGCAUUGGAAACUGUCCGGCUAGAGUGCAGGAGAGGUAAGUGGAAUUCCUAGUGUAGCGGUGAAAUGCGUAGAUAUUAGGAGGAACACCAGUGGCGAAGGCGGCUUACUGGACUGUAACUGACGUUGAGGCUCGAAAGCGUGGGGAGCAAACAGGAUUAGAUACCCGUAAC
rnacentral:rRNA from 1 species